CUUUUUGAUUAUAAUUUAAGGUCUAACCUGCCCAAUGAUGAGGAAGUUAAAUGGCCGCGGUAUUUUGACCGUGCAAAGGUAGCAUAAUCAUUAGUUUUUUAAUUGAAAGCUUGUAUGAAAGGUUGAAUGAGAAAAUAACUGUCUCUGAUUAAAUUUUUUAGAAUUUUAUUUUUAAGUUAAAAAGCUUAAAUUUGUAUGGAAGACGAGAAGACCCUAUAGAGUUUUAUAGUUUUUAUAAUAUAGAAAUUUUAGUAUUUAUACUUUUUUUAUAAUAAAAUUUAUUUGAUUGGGGUGAUUGAAAAAUUUAUUGAACUUUUUUUUUAUUAUAUCAUUGAUUUAUGAUUAAAUGAUCCUUAAAUAAAGAUUAAAAGAUUAAAUUACCUUAGGGAUAACAGCGUAAUUUUUUUUUAGAGUUCUAAUCGAAAAAAAAGGUUGCGACCUCGAUGUUGGAUUAAAAUUAAUUUUUGGUGUAGGGGCUAAA
rnacentral:rRNA from 1 species